rnacentral:rRNA from 1 species
UGUGAGGCAUGCUGGAGGUAUCAGAAGUGCGAAUGCUGACAUAAGUAACGAUAAAGCGGGUGAAAAGCCCGCUCGCCGGAAGACCAAGGGUUCCUGUCCAACGUUAAUCGGGGCAGGGUGAGUCGACCCCUAAGGCGAGGCCGAAAGGCGUAGUCGAUGGGAAACAGGUUAAUAUUCCUGUACUUGGUGUUACUGCGAAGGGGGGACGGAGAAGGCUAUGUUGGCCGGGCGACGGUUGUCCCGGUUUAAGCGUGUAGGCUGGUUUUCCAGGCAAAUCCGGAAAAUCAAGGCUGAGGCGUGAUGACGAGGCACUACGGUGCUGAAGCGACAAAUGCCCUGCUUCCAGGAAAAGCCUCUAAGCAUCAGGUAACAUCAAAUCGUACCCCAAACCGACACAGGUGGUCAGGUAGAGAAUACCAAGGCGCUUGAGAGAACUCGGGUGAAGGAACUAGGCAAAAUGGUGCCGUAACUUCGGGAGAAGGCACGCUGAUAUGUAGGUGAAGCGACUUGCUCGUGGAGCUGAAAUCAGUCGAAGAUACCAGCUGGCUGCAACUGUUUAUUAAAAACACAGCACUGUGCAAACACGAAAGUGGACGUAUACGGUGUGACGCCUGCCCGGUGCCGGAAGGUUAAUUGAUGGGGUUAGCGCAAGCGAAGCUCUUGAUCGAAGCCCCGGUAAACGGCGGCCGUAACUAUAACGGUCCUAAGGUAGCGAAAUUCCUUGUCGGGUAAGUUCCGACCUGCACGAAUGGCGUAAUGAUGGCCAGGCUGUCUCCACCCGAGACUCAGUGAAAUUGAACUCGCUGUGAAGAUGCAGUGUACCCGCGGCAAGACGGAAAGACCCCGUGAACCUUUACUAUAGCUUGACACUGAACAUUGAGCCUUGAUGUGUAGGAUAGGUGGGAGGCUUUGAAGUGUGGACGCCAGUCUGCAUGGAGCCGGCCUUGAAAUACCACCCUUUAAUGUUUGAUGUUCUAACGUAGGCCCCUUAUCGGGGUUGCGGACAGUGUCUGGUGGGUAGUUUGACUGGGGCGGUCUCCUCCUAAAGAGUAACGGAGGAGCACGAAGGUUGGCUAAUCCUGGUCGGACAUCAGGAGGUUAGUGCAAUGGCAUAAGCCAGCUUGACUGCGAGCGUGACGGCGCGAGCAGGUGCGAAAGCAGGUCAUAGUGAUCCGGUGGUUCUGAAUGGAAGGGCCAUCGCUCAACGGAUAAAAGGUACUCCGGGGAUAACAGGCUGAUACCGCCCAAGAGUUCAUAUCGACGGCGGUGUUUGGCACCUCGAUGUCGGCUCAUCACAUCCUGGGGCUGAAGUAGGUCCCAAGGGUAUGGCUGUUCGCCAUUUAAAGUGGUACGCGAGCUGGGUUUAGAACGUCGUGAGACAGUUCGGUCCCUAUCUGCCGUGGGCGCUGGAGAACUGAGGGGGGCUGCUCCUAGUACGAGAGGACCGGAGUGGACGCAUCACUGGUGUUCGGGUUGUCAUGCCAAUGGCACUGCCCGGUAGCUAAAUGCGGAAGAGAUAAGUGCUGAAAGCAUCUAAGCACGAAACUUGCCCCGAGAUGAGUUCUCCCUGACCCUUUAAGGGUCCUGAAGGAACGUUGAAGACGACGACGUUGAUAGGCCGGGUGUGUAAGCGCAGCGAUGCGUUGAGCUAACCGGUACUAAUGAACCGUGAGGCUUAACCUU